GACGAACGCUGGCGGCGUGCUUAACACAUGCAAGUCGAACGGAAAGGCCCUGCUUUUGUGGGGUGCUCGAGUGGCGAACGGGUGAGUAACACGUGAGUAACCUGCCCUUGACUUUGGGAUAACUUCAGGAAACUGGGGCUAAUACCGGAUAGGAGCUCCUGCUGCAUGGUGGGGGUUGGAAAGUUUCGGCGGUUGGGGAUGGACUCGCGGCUUAUCAGCUUGUUGGUGGGGUAGUGGCUUACCAAGGCUUUGACGGGUAGCCGGCCUGAGAGGGUGACCGGCCACAUUGGGACUGAGAUACGGCCCAGACUACUACGGGAGGCAGCAGUGGGGAAUACUGCACAAUGGGCGGAAGCCUGAUGCAGCAACGCCGCGUGCGGGGUGACGGCCUUCGGGUUAUAAACCGCUUUCGCCUGUGACGAAGCGUGAGUGACGGUAAUGGGUAAAGAAGCACCGGCUAACUACGUG
rnacentral:rRNA from 1 species